CCUACGGGUGGCAGCAGUGGGGAAUAUUGCACAAUGGGGGAAACCCUGAUGCAGCGACGCCGCGUGAGUGAAGAAGUAUCUCGGUAUGUAAAGCUCUAUCAGCAGGGAAGAAAAUGACGGUACCUGACUAAGAAGCCCCGGCUAACUACGUGCCAGCAGCCGCGGUAAUACGUAGGGGGCAAGCGUUAUCCGGAUUUACUGGGUGUAAAGGGAGCGUAGACGGCGCUGCAAGUCCGGAGUGAAAGCCCAUGGCUUAACCAUGGUACUGCUCUGGAAACUGUUAUUCUAGAGUAUGGGAGAGGUAGGUGGAAUUCUUGGUGUAGGGGUAAAAUCCGUAGAGAUCAAGAGGAAUACUCAUUGCGAAGGCGACCUGCUAGAACAUAACUGACGCUGAUGCGCGAAAGCGUGGGGAGCAAACAGGAUUAGAUACCCUAGUAGUC
rnacentral:rRNA from 1 species